rnacentral:rRNA from 1 species
AACGAACGCUGGCGGCAUGCUUAACACAUGCAAGUCGAACGAGACCUUCGGGUUUAUGGGCGCUCGGUUGCGUACCGCGUGGUAACCUGCCCUUAGGUUCCGAAUAACUCUCCGAUAGGGGUGCUAAUACCGGUUAAUGUCUUCGGACCAAAGAUUUUUCGCUUUUGGAUGGGGCCGCGUUGGAUUAGCUAGUUGGUAGUGUAAAAGCAUACCAAGGCGUCGAUCCAUAGCUGGUCUGCGAGGAUGAUCAGCCACACUGGGAAUGAGACACGGCCCAGACUGCUACGCAGGGCAGCGGUAGAGAGUAUUAGAGGCUGAACGCAGACCCGGUCAAGCAGUGCGGCGUGUGUGGUGAAGGCCUUAGGGUUGUAAAUCUCUUUUACCCGAGAUGAUAAUGACGGUACCGGGAGAAUAAGCACCGGCUAACUACGUG